AGUCUACGAUCGGACGUAAAGACGCGUGGAACGAAUUCAUCCCUGCUUUUUCAUAUUAUUUUUUAUAUCACAAGGGAAAGCUUUUUUUUUUUUGAUAAUUGAUCUACUCGAUCGACCGUUAUCGGUCUAACGUACGUUGUUUAUUUGGAGAGUGAAUUGAAUAAAAGACAAAAUCGAAGAUGCCACAGCCGGCUCACGAAACGAAAAACAUUCUUACCACUUACUUGAUCCUCAUUUUACUUUUGAUCUCAUUAUGGUUACUUUACUCGGGGAUAUUUUAAUCCCUUACAAUUAUUUUUUUUUCUCAUAAUGGGUUGAAGCAUGAAAGACGAAGAAUGCGAGUUUCUCGAAGAUUGGGCAACUUUCUUCGUUGAUAUAAAAUGAGAAUUGAAACAUCAAUUAAACGUUUCCAGAUUCUUCUUGAUCUCGCUGUCGGAAUACGAUCACCGAUUUGCAAUCACGCAAUAUUUAAUUUAAGUUUUAAUUAAGUUUUAAUAAUCGAAACGAAAUAAUAUGUCAAGGAAAAGAAAAAAAAUGGAUUUUUAAUUAAUUCUGUACGGAAGACGUGUGGAAGUGAGUGAAAUUAUUAUAAUUAGAAUGCAAUAUAUAUUUCUAUGAUUGUGCCAAUUUAUAGAAAGUGUGAAACAUUAAUAAAUGUUCAAGAUAAAAACAUGUACGUGCGCGCGAGCGCGUGCGCGCGUGUGUGUAUGUACGAUCGAAUGAAUGUUAAUACAUGUUCGUAACGCGUUAAUGUAUUCAAUGUUUAAAAAAGUGUGUGUGAAAAUAAUGGACGACGAUUAUUUAUAUAAGGAAAGAUCCUACGAUUUACGUGUCAAAAAUUUGAUCUAAAAAAAACAUGUGAAAUUGAAACAAAAAUUCUGCUUGAAAUAUUUUACGCUUGCAGAAAACGUUGGACGCUAUCAAAUUGGAAUGAAUGAAAUUUGUGU